AUGAAAUAAAUUAACAAUAAAAUGGUCUACAUAUAAUUAUUGCUUCACGGUCUAGUCAAGUUCUUCUGCAGUGUAAAGUAUUACUGUCAGUACAUUUACUGACAUUACUGUCAAUAGUGUCAAUACUGUCAAUAGAUUACAAUAGACAAUAAUAUAAAGUAUUGUACAUUUGUACAUUUACAGAUAAUAGAUCAGAUCAUGGCCAGUACGACUACCGCAUCAGUGGCGGAUGCGAUGGAUGAACCAAUGGCAAUGGCACUAGAUUUGCCUGAUGAGGAGGGCGAUCAAGAUCAGGUUCGAUUUGUUAUCCAAAUCAAUGUUCAAAUGGAUUACAGUUCAAGCCCAAUAGAGAAAGUAUUCAUAAUUUAUGUAAAUGAGGUAUCCAUAUUACAUGUAGCUGUUUCUCCAUUUCCUGGGAAAUACAAGAGAACAAGGAUGCCAGACGGACUGGGUACCGAUUGGGACAGCACCAACGGCAAUGACUAGUAGCAAGAGCACCCAAACAGGGAAAAUACAUCAUCGAUCAAAGGGACACCAGUUGACUCCAGAGAUCCUAGAGAGGGUUAGAGCUCAGCCAGCCAGGGUUAGUGAAGUCCCAUCGUCAAGUGCAGCAGCUCAACAAAGCAACUCCAGGUGCGUCUGGAAUGCAAGCCAAGCUAUGACCACCUCCUGCAUUGUUUGAUGAAGGACCAGCAUCAAGUCCCGCUGCGCCUUCUGUUAGUGGUUCUUCCGAUGUCAGCUAUGUGCCGAGUGGGUCAUUGACAUCGAAUCCGUGUCAAUCUGACGGGUCGCCAGAUCCCAAACGUACUCCCAAGAUGCGGGAAGAGGCCUGCCAGAAGGAACCGAAGUACAUCAUCUUUGAGUCGUGCCUCCAGAGUCUCGUCAAGUGGUGUCACUGUCCAGCCUGUGGCAGCCAGGAAAUAAGCCCUUCUAGGGAUUCGAACAGUACACAGCUAACCAUGACUAUACAAUGUGCAUCAUGUGACCAGAGGAGUAGGCGGAGCAGCCACCAAAACAUUGGCCCUUUAUGCCGCGGUCAACAUCCUGCUAUCUGCUGGCAUCCUCUUCGCUGGCGCAUCUUCUGGCAAGGUGUUGCAAGUGCUGAACAGCAUCGGAGUGGUCACGUAUGUGAAGAGAACAUUUUUCAAGCACCAGGAGCUCAUCCUGCAGCCAGCCAUUAAAAAGGUGUGGGAGGAACAGCAACGGACGCACCUCACCAUGCUGAAGGUGGAAGGCCGACCCCUCGUCCUUGGUGGUGAUGGGCGAGCAGACAGUCCGGGACACAGCGCCAAGUUCGGUACCUGCACCACAAUGGAGCUUGAGGCCAAUGUGGUUCUCAACCUUCAGGUUGUACAGAGGAACAAAUGUCAUGGCAGCUACCAUAUGGAGAUGGAAGGACUGAAGAGGAUGGUGGAGUUGCUGAUCAGCUGGGACCUGGAUGUCAGGGUGCUGGUGACAGACAGAUACAGACAGAUCGCUAAAUGGAUUCGUGAAAACAUGCCCAAUACACGGCACUGCUAUGACAUCUGGCAUGUUGCAAAAUGUUAUUUGGAUUAUUUGUAUGCAUGACAAGUGAAGUAGUGUGUACAUAUCAGUGAUCAGAUGAAUGUGAUAUUGUAUUUAACCCACAAAUUUCUGUUUUUUUCUGUUUGUAGCCAUCGGGAAGAAACUGAAGGCCAUCCUCAAGCUCAAGAACUGUGAAGAACUGAAGCCCUGAGUGCUAAGUAUAAUCAAUCACCUCUACUGGGCAGCAGUGUCUACACCGCCUGGAGAGGGGGAACUUCUGGUUGCCAAGUGGAAGUCUGUGGAGCGACACAUUCAGAACAUCCACAAGGACCAUGGCGACCUCUUCCCAAUUUGUGCUCAUGGACAACUGCACGGUAGAAAGCUGCAAAAGAAAUGGCUCAAACCAAGUUCACGCUCAGCAGUGAAACUUGAGGAGGUGGUCAACUACAAGUCCCUGCUGAAAGAUAUCGCCAUGCUGUUGGGUGAACACUAGACUUCCAAGGUGGAGGCGUUCCAUAGCCUUAUCAUACAGUUCGCACCGAAAAUGUAUGUCUUCUCAUACAUCGGAAUGCUGUGCAGGAACCUGCUUGCUGGGCUGCACUGGAAUGAAAACUCGAGCCACCCUAUAGCCACUACACAAGCGUGUGCUGAGCGCUAUGCAGUACGCUACCCGAAGUAUAAAGCAGGGGGCCAUGUGGUCAAGAAAAUUGCGAAAGAGCCAACAUACCGCUACGUAGAUGACUUGAUCAGGGAGGUUGUUGCUGGCUGCAGACAGAACCCCUGACGAGAGAACACCAGUCAGCGUCACCGUGGAUGUGCCUACUUUCCUCUGCGAUGAACUGGAGAAGCCAGACAAGGAGGAAGCCAUCGCCAAGCACAGGAGUCGCUUCGCUAAGCGUUAACUACAGUGGCCAUGUGGAUUCUGAUGGAAAUGUUGUUCUAAUCUUAUGUACUACACAAGCUGGUUGUGAAGCCCUUAUCUCCUUUCCCAGAUAUCCCCAGCAGAAGCGGACAAACUGUCGAUAUGCUGUGUAUGGUCCCCGCCUGCAAGUGCAAAAUAGUUGAUAGCAAAUUAUGGCACCUGUUAUUAUCCGGACAUGGAUACACAGUGACUCACUGUUCUCCGAGAUGCCAAAGUCAUUGUCAUGCAUUCUAUUCAUUUGUCAUUUACUGUUGCAGUAGAUUGUAAAUAUUGUUAAGAUAAGAAAGUGCUCAU